ACGAUGCGUAGGGGUUCUGAGAGGAAGGUCCCCCACACUGGUACUGAGACACGGACCAGACUCCUACGGGAGGCAGCAGUGAGGAAUAUUGGUCAAUGGGAGAGAUCCUGAACCACCCAAGCCGCGUGAGGGAAGACGGCCCUAUGGGUUGUAAACCUCUUUUGUCGGAGAACAAAACCCGGGACGUGUCCCGGACUGCGUGUAUCCGAAGAAAAAGCAUCGGCUAACUCCGUGCCAGCAGCCGCGGUAAUACGGAGGAUGCGAGCGUUAUCCGGAUUUAUUGGGUUUAAAGGGUGCGUAGGCGGUCCGUUAAGUCAGCGGUAAAAUUGCGGGGCUCAACCCCGUCGAGCCGUUGAAACUGGCAGACUUGAGUUGGCGAGAAGUACGCGGAAUGCGCGGUGUAGCGGUGAAAUGCAUAGAUAUCGCGCAGAACUCCGAUUGCGAAGGCAGCGUACCGGCGCCAGACUGACGCUGAGGCACGAAAGCGUGGGGAUCGAACAGGAUUAGAUACCCUGGUAGUCCACGCAGUAAACGAUGAAUGGUGGUUGUCCGGGUCGAAUGAGAUCUGG
rnacentral:rRNA from 1 species